rnacentral:misc_RNA from 1 species
GAUGAAGAACGUAGCGAAAUGCGAUACGUAAUGUGAAUUGCAGAAUUCAGUGAAUCAUCGAAUCUUUGAACGCAUAUUGCGCUCUUUGGUAUUCCGAAGAGCAUGCUUGUUUGAGUAUCAGUAAACACCUCAACCUCUUCUUGAUUUUUCAAAAGGAGGGUGUACUUGAGCUAUCCCAACAACCUUUACCGGUCGGCGGGCGGCUUGAAAUGCAGGUGCAGCUGGACUUUUAUCUGAGCUAAAAGCAUAUCUAUUUAGUCCUCGUCAAACAGGAUUAUUACUUUUGCUGCAGCUAACAUAAAGGAUAAUUGUCCUCUUUGCUGACUGAUGCAGGAUUUUACGACACUUUAUGUGUUGUUCAACUCGAUCUCAAAUCAAGUAAGACUACCCGCUGAACUUAAGCAUAUCAAUAAGCGGAGGA